GGGCUAGGGGGUCUGCUUAUAUAGUCCCCUCAAGUGAAUCUGGGCCGUCGGAUCAAACCGACAUUGAUUGAAUGGUUAUCCUUGAUCCUUUAGGUCGGUGGAGCAUAAUCCGUGAGACGGGUCCUGGUUGGAGUCUAACUCAGGGCGGGCGCCCUAGGUGGGAGGGCGGGCGCCCUGCCCCCGGGCCCGAUCGCCUUCCCGUUCGUUCCCGUGGCUUCUGGAGUCUUCUAGAUGAUAGAAAAUUGCGCGGCACGUUAAUAUCUCUAUGUAAACCUGACAUGUGGGCCUUUCCUCCAUAUUUCCUGAUAACCCCCUGCAGAAAUAGACAAACACCAAAGCUCGU
rnacentral:lncRNA from 1 species